GCCCAGAUCAGAUUGCAGGACCAUCAGCGAAUAAAGCAGUAGUUGUUUUAGGCCACCGAAGCUGGGAGGCGGGGAGGGCGGGGGUUGUUUUGAGGCAGUGAAUAACCAAAUCAAUAUAUUCUUGUGUUGAAGACAGUGGAGCAACAGGAAAAAACAGCUUGGGUCCUUGAAUCCUUGUUUGGAACACAGCCAUCCUACCAAUCAUAGAGACUAUGACAAUAUGAAAGUGAAAGAGAAAGAGAAAGGCGCUCAGUCGUGUCCGACUUUCUGUGACCCCACGGACUGUUCUCCAGGCAAGAAUACUAGAGUGGGUAGCCUUUUCCUUCUCCAGGGGAUCUUUCCAACUCAGGGAUCGAACCCAGGUCUCCAGCCACCAGGAAUGCCCAACAAUAUGAAAUAUGUCUUCACGCCCCUCAGAUUCCUCUGAACAGAGCUGGGAAAUGCUGAGCUAAUCCUACCUGCUCAGCUGAGAACCUGAGACCAAAAGGAAAGAAGUGACUCGCCAAGAUGGCACUUUGGCAACACAAAGACUCAGCCCAGGCCUCACAGCCCUUAUCUAGAACCCUGUUCAGAAAGCCACUCUGUCCCACUGACCAGAAGACAAUGUUCCCUGGAAUCCGGACUAUGAUGACUCACCCCAACAAAGCUCAUAACAUAAAAUUCUCUCCUCGAUAAUGGCAAAAACAACAUGGCUGCCUUAGCACUGAACUUAAUUUUAUUAUUUAAAAUAAAAGGGUUCAACAAACUAUUGAAAAUUUACUAAUUUCAUAUUAACCAGAGAAACGCAGUAAAAUACUUCCCCCACGGUGACUGAGUAUGUUCCUCAAAAUGCCUAACUCUGCUGCCAGAGUCCAUUUUCCACAAACUCUGGUUCCCAUAAAGGCUAAUUUGAGAAGGAGCAGAGGUACAACCAAAUGCUGCUGUUUUCCUUCAUAGCACUUAAAUAAUGCUUUCUCCACAUUUCCCACUGCCUGUUCCAAGAGCACUGUCCUUUGAUGUUUUUCAGAUACACAUUAUCCACAUCCUUUUCCAGAAAGUGAAUACUUUUUUCCACCACCUAGGUUUUUAAAUAAUAAUAAUAAAGAUUACAACUGAU
rnacentral:lncRNA from 1 species